rnacentral:rRNA from 2 species
GGGUGACUGCGUACCUUUUGUAUAAUGGGUCAGCGACUUAUAUUCUGUAGCAAGGUUAACCGUAUAGGGGAGCCGCAGGGAAACCGAGUCUUAACUGGGCGUUAAGUUGCAGGGUAUAGACCCGAAACCCGGUGAUCUAGCCAUGGGCAGGUUGAAGGUUGGGUAACACUAACUGGAGGACCGAACCGACUAAUGUUGAAAAAUUAGCGGAUGACUUGUGGCUGGGGGUGAAAGGCCAAUCAAACCGGGAGAUAGCUGGUUCUCCCCGAAAGCUAUUUAGGUAGCGCCUCGUGAAUUCAUCUUCGGGGGUAGAGCACUGUUUCGGCUAGGGGGUCAUCCCGACUUACCAACCCGAUGCAAACUACGAAUACCGAAGAAUGUUAUCACGGGAGACACACGGCGGGUGCUAACGUCCGUCGUGAAGAGGGAAACAACCCAGACCGCCAGCUAAGGUCCCAAAGUCAUGGUUAAGUGGGAAACGAUGUGGGAAGGCCCAGACAGCCAGGAUGUUGGCUUAGAAGCAGCCAUCAUUUAAAGAAAGCGUAAUAGCUCACUGGUCGAGUCGGCCUGCGCGGAAGAUGUAACGGGGCUAAACCAUGCACCGAAGCUGCGGCAGCGACACUAUGUGUUGUUGGGUAGGGGAGCGUUCUGUAAGCCGUUGAAGGUGGCCUGUGAGGGUUGCUGGAGGUAUCAGAAGUGCGAAUGCUGACAUAAGUAACGAUAAUGCGGGUGAAAAACCCGCACGCCGGAAGACCAAGGGUUCCUGUCCAACGUUAAUCGGGGCAGGGUGAGUCGACCCCUAAGGCGAGGCCGAAAGGCGUAGUCGAUGGGAAACAGGUUAAUAUUCCUGUACUCGGUGUUACUGCGAAGGGGGGACGGAGAAGGCUAUGUUGGCCGGGCGACGGUUGUCCCGGUUUAAGCAUGUAGGCGGAUGUUCCAGGUAAAUCCGGAACGUUACUAACGCUGAGGUGUGAUGACGAGGCACUACGGUGCUGAAGUGACAAAUGCCCUGCUUCCAGGAAAAGCCUCUAAGCAUCAGGUAACAUCAAAUCGUACCCCAAACCGACACAGGUGGUCAGGUAGAGAAUACCAAGGCGCUUGAGAGAACUCGGGUGAAGGAACUAGGCAAAAUGGUGCCGUAACUUCGGGAGAAGGCACGCUGAUGGUAAGUGAAGCGACUUGCUCGUGGAGCUGAAAUCAGUCGAAGAUACCAGCUGGCUGCAACUGUUUAUUAAAAACACAGCACUGUGCAAACACGAAAGUGGACGUAUACGGUGUGACGCCUGCCCGGUGCCGGAAGGUUAAUUGAUGGGGUUAUCCGUAAGGAGAAGCUCUUGAUCGAAGCCCCGGUAAACGGCGGCCGUAACUAUAACGGUCCUAAGGUAGCGAAAUUCCUUGUCGGGUAAGUUCCGACCUGCACGAAUGGCGUAAUGAUGGCCAGGCUGUCUCCACCCGAGACUCAGUGAAAUUGAACUCGCUGUGAAGAUGCAGUGUACCCGCGGCAAGACGGAAAGACCCCGUGAACCUUUACUAUAGCUUGACACUGAACACUGGUCCUUGAUGUGUAGGAUAGGUGGGAGGCUUUGAAGUGUGGACGCCAGUCUGCAUGGAGCCAUCCUUGAAAUACCACCCUUUAAUGGCUGGUGUUCUAACGUGGGCCCCUAAUCGGGGUUGCGGACAGUGUCUGGUGGGUAGUUUGACUGGGGCGGUCUCCUCCUAAAGAGUAACGGAGGAGCACGAAGGUCAGCUAAUCCUGGUCGGACAUCAGGAGGUUAGUGCAAUGGCAUAAGCUGGCUUGACUGCGAGCGUGACGGCGCGAGCAGGUGCGAAAGCAGGUCAUAGUGAUCCGGUGGUUCUGAAUGGAAGGGCCAUCGCUCAACGGAUAAAAGGUACUCCGGGGAUAACAGGCUGAUACCGCCCAAGAGUUCAUAUCGACGGCGGUGUUUGGCACCUCGAUGUCGGCUCAUCACAUCCUGGGGCUGAAGUAGGUCCCAAGGGUAUGGCUGUUCGCCAUUUAAAGUGGUACGCGAGCUGGGUUUAGAACGUCGUGAGACAGUUCGGUCCCUAUCUGCCGUGGGCGCUGGAGAAUUGAGGGGGGCUGCUCCUAGUACGAGAGGACCGGAGUGGACGCAUCACUGGUGUUCGGGUUGUCAUGCCAAUGGCAUUGCCCGGUAGCUAAAUGCGGAAGAGAUAAGUGCUGAAAGCAUCUAAGCACGAAACUUGCCCCGAGAUGAGUUCUCCCUGACUCCUUGAGAGUCCUGAAGGAACGUUGAAGACGACGACGUUGAUAGGCCGGGUGUGUAAGCGCAGCGAUGCGUUGAGCUAACCGGUACUAAUGAACCGUGAGGCUUAACCUU